CAACAGGAACCCCCGACCUACUGUAUUCUGCAUGGUCAACUUACUCUCAAUCCUUGCCCUCAGGAUUAUCCUUAGCGACUAUUUUAAGCAGUUGGACUGACGUGGGAGGUUUCCCUUUGGUGACAGUAUCUUUAUCUGGUAACGACGUGGUCAUAUCGCAGAAACAAUUUCUACUAGAUCCUUCGGAAUCAUCGACCAGUGAAUGGUACGUACCCCUUACCUAUACCACCUCCCUUGAAAAGAAUUUCAACAACACAACACCGUCUCGUUGGUUGAUACCAGGACAAAACGUAACAAUUUCUAAUAUCCUUCGAGGGGGAUCCGGUUGGGUGCUUUUAAAUCUUCAACAAACUGGAUAUUACCGAGUGACUUACGACGUCA